rnacentral:rRNA from 1 species
AGAGUUUGAUCAUGGCUCAGAUUGAACGCUGGCGGCAUGCUUUACACAUGCAAGUCGAACGGUAACGCGGGGGCAACCCUGGCGACGAGUGGCGAACGGGUGAGUAAUACAUCGGAACAUGUCCUGGAGUGGGGGAUAGCUCGGCGAAAGCCGGAUUAAUACCGCAUACGCUCUGAGGAGGAAAGCGGGGGACCGUAAGGCCUCGCGCUGCAGGAGUGGCCGAUGUCGGAUUAGCUAGUUGGUGAGGUAAAGGCUCACCAAGGCGACGAUCCGUAGCUGGUCUGAGAGGAUGAUCAGCCACACUGGGACUGAGACACGGCCCAGACUCCUACGGGAGGCAGCAGUGGGGAAUUUUGGACAAUGGGGGCAACCCUGAUCCAGCCAUGCCGCGUGAGUGAAGAAGGCCUUCGGGUUGUAAAGCUCUUUCGGACGGGACGAAAUGGUUACGGUGAAUAACUGUGACUGAUGACGGUACCGUAAUAAGAAGCACCGGCUAACUACGUGCCAGCAGCCGCGGUAAUACGUAGGGUGCGAGCGUUAAUCGGAAUUACUGGGCGUAAAGCGUGCGCAGGCGGUUCGCCAAGUCAGGUGUGAAAUCCCCGGGCUUAACCUGGGAAUUGCGCUUGAAACUAGCGGGCUUGAGUGUGGCAGAAGGGGGUGGAAUUCCACGUGUA